UAUUGGACAAUGGGCGAAAGCCUGAUCCAGCAAUACCGCGUGUGUGAAGAAGGCCUUAGGGUUGUAAAGCACUUUCAAUUGGGAGGAAAACCUACCGGUCAAUACCCGGUAGCUUGACAUUACCUUUAGAAGAAGCACCGGCUAACUCCGUGCCAGCAGCCGCGGUAAUACGGAGGGUGCGAGCGUUAAUCGGAAUUACUGGGCGUAAAGCGUGCGUAGGCGGUUCGUUAAGUCAGAUGUGAAAGCCCUGGGCUCAACCUGGGAACGGCAUUUGAAACUGGCGGACUAGAGUUUAGUAGAGGGGAGUGGAAUUUCAGGUGUAGCGGUGAAAUGCGUAGAUAUCUGAAAGAACACCAGUGGCGAAGGCGACUCCCUGGACUAGAACUGACGCUGAGUACGAAA
rnacentral:rRNA from 1 species